UACGUAGGGGGCCAGCGUUGUUCGGAAUUACUGGGUGUAAAGGGUUCGUAGGCGGUGCGGCAAGUUGGGAGUGAAAUCUCUGGGCUUAACCCAGAGGCUGCUCUCAAAACUGCUGUGCUUGAGUGUGAGAGAGGCUCGUGGAAUUGCAGGUGUAGCGGUGAAAUGCGUAGAUAUCUGCAGGAACACCCGUGGCGAAGGCGGCGAGCUGGAUCACUACUGACGCUGAGGAACGAAAGCUAGGGGAGCAAACAGG
rnacentral:rRNA from 1 species